CAGCUCUCCGAGUGGUAGGGAUGAUUAUUGGGCCUAAAGCAUCCGUAGCCUGCUUAGCAAGUCUCCUGUUAAAUUCAGCGACCUAAUCGUUGAGCCGCGGGAGAUACUACUAGGCUAGGAGGCGGGAGAGGUCGACGGUACUUCUGGGGUAGGGGUGAAAUCCUAUAAUCCCGGGAGGACCACCAGUGGCGAAGGCUGUCGACUAGAACGCGCUCGACGGUGAGGGACGAAAGCUGGGGGAGCGAACCGGAUUAGAGACCCGAGUAGUCC
rnacentral:rRNA from 1 species